rnacentral:rRNA from 1 species
GACGAACGCUGGCGGCGUGCUUAACACAUGCAAGUCGAACGGUAAGGCCCCUCGGGGUACACGAGUGGCGAACGGGUGAGUAACACGUGGGUGAUCUGCCCUGCACUUCGGGAUAAGCCUGGGAAACUGGGUCUAAUACCGGAUAGGACCACUGCCUGCAUGGGUGGUGGUGGAAAGCUUUUGCGGCGUGGGAUGGGCCCGCGGCCUAUCAGCUUGUUGGUGGGGUGAUGGCCUACCAAGGCGACGACGGGUAGCCGGCCGGAGAGGGUGACCGGCCACACUGGGACUGAGAUACGGCCCAGACUCCUACGGGAGGCAGCAGUGGGGAAUAUUGCACAAUGGGCGCAAGCCUGAUGCAGCGACGCCGCGUGAGGGAUGACGGCCUUCGGGUUGUAAACCUCUUUCAGCACCGACGAAGCGCAAGUGACGGUAGGUGCAGAAGAAGGACCGGCCAACUACGUGCCAGCCGCCGCCGUAA